GGUGCCGGCGCGGAGCGGCCCCUCGGGCUGCGGGGGCGGCGGGCGGAGGCGAGCGUGGCCCCCCCGCCCUGGGACACGAGCGUUGGCGUACGGCGCGCGUGGCCCCUCACGGCCUGAGCACUCUGCGGUGCGGCUGGCGUGAGGCGAGCGGGACGGAGCAUCAGCUUCUCAGAAUCACAGAAUCGCUGACUAUGUGGCAGUGCAGUAGCAGAGAAAGUGAAGUUCUUAACAAGUGACCUUGAGAGGAUAAAAGAUCGUUUCUCAUCAUUGCUUCAAAUGUUUAUGCUCGGCGCGGUUCCAGUCGAUAAUUUUGUUCAAUUUGAAAAAAGAACUCAGAGUUUUCAAACACAAGAAAGCUCCUACCAAUUUUCUGUGAAAACAGAUGGCUGUGGACAAGAGAAAGAUUGUGUAAGUGCCCUCCUGUCUCCUUCAGGAAAAAGGCUGUAGUGCAAGUUCUUAUGUUAUGACAAAAGCCUAUUCACACAGAAUUCCCCAGCCAUGAAGAAACAACACAUGCCCCAGCCACAAGGAGAGAUCUGAGCAGAGCUCAAGCAGCCAUGAAACACAAAUGUUUAGGAAACCAGGCCUUGCUGUUUCUGGCACUCAGGGAGCUCCUGGUUCAGACACUGCCUGACAGCUUCUGCAUGUUUUAAGAUGCAUCAUUUAAUAUAAAUAAUAACAGAAACAUCAUGAAACAGAAAAGAUUUAAAGGAAGCUGUUUCAGCUGAAGAGAUGCCACUAGAAAAAACUUCUACUUUUGGCUGCCAGUUACAGGAAUAAAGUUGUCAGCAGCACAUCAGCUGUCGGGAUCAGAGCUCUGUGGUGAGAAUGCAGAUGCGAUGCCAGAAGCUGUUCUCAGUUUCAUCACUGGGCUUACAUGGGAGUAGGAGGGACCCACCUCCUCCAGUGGCAAAUGGCACCACCAGUGGCAACUACCCAGAUAUUUUUAUUCAUAAACUUCAGCAAACAUAAAAGGAAACAAUAUUCCAAAGAAGCAAGAUGUUUCAGAAACAUCAGUAAGAGUGGCUCCCAGCAAUACUCUAAGGAAUCUCCAUCUGCUUAUGACAGAAUCGUGCAGCACAACAAACAGAAAGAAACAACAAAUGGCAAGACAUGAUUCCUGUGAGAAAAUCUGGUUUCUACUUUUCUCCUGAAAAUGGCAAAGAAACAUCACAAAAACACCUUGGGCUUAUACUUAUUUAAAAGAGAGGAUAAUUUACCUGAGAGUUAUCUGGCUGAGUGGUCUUGUCUUCACAGUUUAAUAUCUGGCAAUUAUGUGUGGAUAUGACAGUUUUAAGCUUAACGCAAGUAGGCGGCAGCGACUGAGGUUUAACAGUAAGCUUUUCUUCUUUGCUUGACCUGAUGACACAUGCAAAAAGCUAAAAACUGCCAGGUCCACAGUAGGAUUUGAAUGAAUUAUGUGGGUGGAAUUUGAAUACAGGUUGCUCUGAACAUCUUUGGGUUGAGAAAAGCAGUAAAAGCACCAUAGAAGCAUGCAGAAGAGUGAAGAACAAUAAAGAUAUACUUGCAG